rnacentral:lncRNA from 1 species
UAAUGUAUCUCAUCCCUUAUCUUACAAUUAAAAUACUACUACUACUACCUAAUUAAAGAAGAGAUCAAAAUAGGUCCCGACCUAAUUGCUUGGUUGUUGGUUGAGUUUUCUCCUCCUCCUCCUUCUCAUCAUCAUCAUCACAAAGUUGGUGUUUGAUCGGAAUUAGUAGUUCGUUCCAUCAUCCAUGGCCUUCAAAUGACUCAUCUACCCUUUAUUUUGGGGGCAUGAAAAGAAAUUUUCAAAUACUAUUUAAAACCGUACGUUUUAG